AUGCAGUCGAGCGGGGGAAGGUAGCUUGCUACUGGACCUAGCGGCGGACGGGUGAGUAAUGCUUAGGAAUCUGCCUAUUAGUGGGGGACAACAUCUCGAAAGGGAUGCUAAUACCGCAUACGUCCUACGGGAGAAAGCAGGGGAUCUUCGGACCUUGCGCUAAUAGAUGAGCCUAAGUCGGAUUAGCUAGUUGGUGGGGUAAAGGCCUACCAAGGCGACGAUCUGUAGCGGGUCUGAGAGGAUGAUCCGCCACACUGGGACUGAGACACGGCCCAGACUCCUACGGGAGGCAGCAGUGGGGAAUAUUGGACAAUGGGGGGAACCCUGAUCCAGCCAUGCCGCGUGUGUGAAGAAGGCCUUAUGGUUGUAAAGCACUUUAAGCGAGGAGGAGGCUACUUUAGUUAAUACCUAGAGAUAGUGGACGUUACUCGCAGAAUAAGCACCGGCUAACUCUGUGCCAGCAGCCGCGGUAAUACAGAGGGUGCGAGCGUUAAUCGGAUUUACUGGGCGUAAAGCGUGCGUAGGCGGCUUAUUAAGUCGGAUGUGAAAUCCCCGAGCUUAACUUGGGAAUUGCAUUCGAUACUGGUGAGCUAGAGUAUGGGAGAGGAUGGUAGAAUUCCAGGUGUAGCG
rnacentral:rRNA from 1 species